UCUCAUUUCAUUGUUACCCUGAUCCUCUCCCUCCUUCUCCUUUCCAGCUUUCUCGUCCUUCAAAUUCUUCCCUAUAUUUUAAACAACUUGAGUUUGAUAUCUCAUUCUUGAUUGAGAGAUAUGGGGGAAGAAGCUAAACAGGAACAAGCUAAGGCAGAGGCUCAGCCAUAGGAGAAGAAGAUCAGAAAACAGAGGAGAAGAAGGAUCAAGAGAAGCCAUAGGAGAAGGAAGAGGCAAAACCACCAUCUAAUUUUUUUGUCUUGUACGUGGACUUGCAUUGUGUUGGAUGUGCCAAGAAGAUUGAGACUUUAUAAUGGGAAUUAGAGGAGUGGAGGGGGUUGAGGUAGACAUGGCUAAAAAGAAA